GGAAGUUUCCAUGCGCAGUUCCUGACUGCGGUUUUUAACAGCCAGGUUUUUUUUCAGUUUUGUGCUGCCACCCUGUUUUGCCACUUUGCUUUUUUAAGCACUGCCACUCUGCUUAGAGCCUCCGAAGCUGGCCGAGCCUGGCCGGAACACAACUUGCCUUACCCUGCAGCUUUUUUCCCCACCUGGCUUUGACUUGCUGCCAGGCUGGACUGUGGGUGGUUCCAGUUCCUGUUCCCAUCAGCAAAGGAGCAAAAGGGGAGGGUGCUUACCCUUUCCACUGUACAGGUUUCUGCAGGUUUUGGUUCCAGAAAUAAUUUCGGAGGGAUAGAGAAGAAAAGGGAAAGCAGAGAAACAACUUGGAGACAUUUCAGUACUGAAAGCACAUUUCCAGCUCUACUAACGUAUGCAGGCACAUAAGCAGUGAGGCUGCAAAGACACAGGGAUGAUCUGCCUGCAGAUAGGAGCUGCCAACUCCUUUCUGCUGAGCGCUGCACUCAUUGGGACAACCUGCCUAUGGAAAGAAGCUAUCCAUUUAGGAUCUCCUGAGAGCUGUACUGUUGCUCAAUAAAACAGCUCUUCAUUUUGCUCUGCCUCCAUUUGUCUGCGUACCUCAUUCUUCCUGGAAGUAGGACAACAACUCAGCACCUGCCUAAUGGUGGGACUGAAAGAACAGUAACAGAAACACUUGUCACGUUGUGGGUGAUGAGAAAGAGAAAAGGAGAGAAGAGCUGCAGCCCUUCGGGAAGCCCAGACUUAGGAGCUCCCUGAGUCAAGGCUGUGACACUCUCUUUGGGGCUCUGUGGUUCUUAGCGUUUCUAAUCUCCCAGGUGCCAGCAUGUUUCCUGAGUCCAGCAGUGGAAGCUGCUUUACAGCAGUGCCCCACUCUACUGAUACUAAAUUACAUCGUAAAAUAAUGUAUUAGUUCAUUUUCAUGCUGUUGAUGAAGACAUAUCUGAGACUGGAAAGAAAAAUAGGUUUAAUGGACUCACAGUUCCAUGUGGCUGGGAAGGUGGAAGGCGAAAGGCAUUUCUUACGUGGUGCUGGCAAGAAAGAAUGAGAGAGAAGCAAAAGCGGAAACCCCCUAUAAAACUAACAGAUCUCGUGAGACUUAUUCACUACCAUGAGAACGGUAUGGCGGAAACUGCCCUCAUGAUUCAAUUAUCUCCCACUGGGUCCCCCCCACAAAAUGUGGGAAUUAUGGGAGCUGUAAUUGAAGAUGAGAUUUGGGUGGGGACACAGAGUCAAACCAAAUCAGAUAUCAGGGUACUUAACUCCAACAGCUAUUGUCUUUUACUAUUAUUUAUUACUGAAUUGUUUUAUUAUUUCCUAU